rnacentral:rRNA from 1 species
AUUGAACGCUGGCGGCAGGCUUAACACAUGCAAGUCGAGCGGGGUGAUGGUGCUUGCACUAUCACUUAGCGGCGGACGGGUGAGUAAUGCUUAGGAAUCUGCCUAUUAGAGGGGGACAACACCUCGAAAGGGAUGCUAAUACCGCAUCCGUCCUACGGGAGAAAGAAGGGGAUCGCUUGUGACCUUGCGCUAAUAGAUGAGCCUAAGUCGGAUUAGCUAGUUGGUGGGGUAAAGGCCUACCAAGGCGACGAUCUUUAGCGGGCCUGGGAGGAUGAGCCGCCACACUGGGACGGAGACACGGCCCAGACUCCUACGGGAGGCAGCAGUGGGGAAUAUUGGACAAUGGGGGGAACCCUGAUCCAGCCAUGCCGCGUGUGUGAAGAAGGCCUUAUGGUUGUAAAGCACUUUAAGCGAGGAGGAGGCUCUUUUGGUUAAUACCCAGAAUGAGUGGACGUUACUCGCAGAAUAAGCACCGGCUAACUCUGUGCCAGCCGCCGCGGUAA